rnacentral:rRNA from 1 species
GUCAAGUCAGCAUGGCCUUUAUAUCCAGGGCGACACACACGCUACAAUGGGCGGUACAAUGGGCAGCGAAGGGGCGACCUGGAGCGAAUCCCACCAAAGCCGUUCGUAGUUCGGAUUGCAGGCUGCAACUCGCCUGCAUGAAGCCGGAAUCGCUAGUAACGGUAGGUCAGCACACUACCGUGAAUACGUUCCCGGGUCUU